rnacentral:rRNA from 1 species
UACAGAGGUCUCAAGCGUUGUUCGGAUUCAUUGGGCGUACAGGGUGCGUAGGUGGCGCCGUAAGUCGGGUGUGAAAUUUCGGAGCUUAACUCCGAAGCUGCAUUCGAUACUGCGGUGCUUGAGGACUGGAGAGGAGACUGGAAUUCAUGGUGUAGCAGUGAAAUGCGUAGAGAUCAUGAGGAAGACCAGUGGCGAAGGCGGGUCUCUGGACAGUUCCUGACACUGAGGCACGAAGGCCAGGGGAGCAAACGGG